rnacentral:rRNA from 2 species
AUUGAACGCUGGCGGCAUGCCUUACACAUGCAAGUCGAACGGUAACAGGUCUUCGGAUGCUGACGAGUGGCGAACGGGUGAGUAAUACAUCGGAACGUGCCCGAUCGUGGGGGAUAACGAAGCGAAAGCUUUGCUAAUACCGCAUACGAUCUACGGAUGAAAGCAGGGGACCGCAAGGCCUUGCGCGAACGGAGCGGCCGAUGGCAGAUUAGGUAGUUGGUGGGAUAAAAGCUUACCAAGCCGACGAUCUGUAGCUGGUCUGAGAGGACGACCAGCCACACUGGGACUGAGACACGGCCCAGACUCCUACGGGAGGCAGCAGUGGGGAAUUUUGGACAAUGGGCGAAAGCCUGAUCCAGCCAUGCCGCGUGCAGGAUGAAGGCCUUCGGGUUGUAAACUGCUUUUGUACGGAACGAAAAGACUCUGGUUAAUACCUGGGGUCCAUGACGGUACCGUAAGAAUAAGCACCGGCUAACUACGUGCCAGCAGCCGCGGUAAUACGUAGGGUGCAAGCGUUAAUCGGAAUUACUGGGCGUAAAGCGUGCGCAGGCGGUUAUAUAAGACAGAUGUGAAAUCCCCGGGCUCAACCUGGGAACUGCAUUUGUGACUGUAUAGCUAGAGUACGGCAGAGGGGGAUGGAAUUCCGCGUGUAGCAGUGAAAUGCGUAGAUAUGCGGAGGAACACCGAUGGCGAAGGCAAUCCCCUGGGCCUGUACUGACGCUCAUGCACGAAAGCGUGGGGAGCAAACAGG